ncrna:unclassified sequences DTF3800-VIII RNA
AUCCCCCUGCUGAUACCGAAGCCUCACGUUCCACGCGAGGUAUAUGUAGGUACAGCGGGGGGAU